UCGAAGUGAAUCUCAAAUCUCAACUGCUGUCUUUCUCUCUUCCAUCAUGUGUCGACCAACUUCACCGAAUCACCGCCCCGUCGGCCGCCACUGGCCCGCUGACCAGCACAGCUGCAUAUUGAUGUUUUUCUGUUCUUGUUUUUCUGUUCUUUUUCUUCUUAAUAUCCCUGGAUGUGUUUUUCCCUAGGAAGAAGAAAGCAGUGAGCUCGGAGAAGAAGGAGAGCAAGCGGAAGAGGUAAAGUAAAGAAAGGGAUCCCAACAUGCCCAAGCGUCCGCACACAGCAUCCUUCGUUUUCAUGGAUGAAUUUAGAAAGAAAUACAAAGAAGAGAAGCCUGAAGAUGCAAAAAGCGUUGCAAAGGUUAGGCGAUUCUUUGUGUUAUACCAGUUCGCUAGGCUAUGACUGUGGAGUACUGAAACGCAGAACAAAAGAGGAGAAGCAGGCACAAGGGAACAAACCCGCAGGGAUUCUCGGCUUAGAGAGGAAUACCCACUGCUCAGCCACAAAAAAGAAAAGGUGAAAAUAUAUCUGCACUCCAGUCCUUGUGCCUUUGGGAACCGAAGGUCCUUUUUUGGCAGACUCCUUUUCCCGGCAUCCCCCGUGCUGCUGACCACUGCGGCUGCCCCUGCGAUUCCCCCGGCGUAAUGAAAAAAAAAAAAAAGAAACGAAGUAAAGAUAGAAGACAGAAACUUACCUGAACGAUCCUUCCUCCCUUGUUUUUUCAAGGUUUUUUUGCUUUGGGUUCCUGUUACAAAGGUUCUGGUGAGUAGCCGUCCGCGUCUACCGCGUGUCGGCCAGUUGCCAGUGGUCGAAGAGGCCGGAGUCGGCCUGCGUACGCUGAAAACCCUCGGAGAUACAAGAGGGAUCGAUAGGGGAGAAGGCAGACGCAGGAGAAAAUGGAAAAGAAGUUAGCGUCGGACUGGGUCUUCACUUCUCAUAUCCAUUUUUGGAAUGGUCUUCAUAUUUUCGGGACUUUAUAGAUAGCGUGCCAUGUUUUUCUCUCUUAUGCCACCUGACAGUGCUUUCUUUCACUGCCUUAACACUUACUUUCUUUCAUUUUCAGAAUUUUCAACCAAUUGAACCUAAGAUCAUAAUUAGGCCAUCUUUAGAUGACAGAAA